rnacentral:rRNA from 1 species
CACGUAGGGGGCAAGCGUUGUCCGGAUUUAUUGGGCGUAAAGAGCUCGUAGGUGGUUCAGUAAGUCGGGUGUGAAACCUCCAGGCUCAACCUGGAGACGCCACCCGAUACUGCUGUGACUAGAGUCCAGUAGGGGAGCAUGGAAUUCCUGGUGUAGCGGUGAAAUGCGCAGAUAUCAGGAGGAACACCAGCGGCGAAGGCGGCGCUCUGGGCCGGAACUGACGCUGAGGAGCGAAAGCGUGGGGAGCGAACAGG